GGUCCGCUGGCGUAAUUGGAAGCGCGUCUGACUACGAUCGAUUGUAAUCAGGAGGUUCCAGGUUCGAGCCCUGGGCGGAUCG